AAUGGACGCUGGCGGCAGGCCUAAAACAUGCAAGUCGAACGCCCUAGCAAUAGGGAGUGGCGCACGGGUGAGUAACAUGUGGGAAUAUGCCUUUUGGUACGGAACAACGUUUGGAAACGAACGCUAAUACCGUAUGGUCCCUCCGGGGUAAAGAUUUAUCGCCAAAAGAUUAGCCCGCACUAGAUUAGCUAGUUGGUAAGGUAAUGGCUUACCAAGGCGACGAUCUAUAGCUGUUCUGAGAGGAAGAUCAGCCACACUGGGACUGAGACACGGCCCAGACUCCUACGGGAGGCAGCAGUUAGGAAUAUUGGACAAUGGGCGCAAGCCUGAUCCAGCCAUGCCGCGUGAGUGAUGAAGGCCUUCGGGUCGUAAAGCUCUUUAGCCGACGAAUAUAAUGACUGUAGUCGGAGAAUAAGCCCCGGCUAACUUCGUGCCAGCCGCCGCGGUAAAAC
rnacentral:rRNA from 1 species